GUUAGGAAGGUCACGGGGCCCUACCGGUGCUUGAAAUGGGACCAGGCCAAUUUCUUUUGGUUCUUAAGGGACAGGGUGCCUCAGCCAACAUCUGAAUUGGGCUGAUGUCAAUCCUUGCGGCCUCUUCCAACAUUAACCUUCCAACCAAAUUGUUUUUCACAAACGGUUCAACAAUAAUCGGCUGCCAUGUUUAGUUUUGAGACGAUCAUUUUAAGAAAAGCACUGAGCUUCUUAGCAUAUUUCCCCGCUGAAAUACCUCUCUUGAGACGAACGUGUUGCAUUAUGGCUUGUCCAGCAAAGCAAUUUGUCCGUUGAAGGAAGCCCCAAAUUCUUAACAUCAGCAAGGCGAUCCCUGGGCUUCACCUUAUUAUGUAGGUAUUAUUUAGCAUUCUAGGAGUGUUGGAUGCUUGGUCGCUUGCGAGAACACGGAGGAAAUGCUACCAACUACUGGGAAACCCAGCGAUCGGAAAUGCCUGCUCCUUACAGCAGCUGGUUCCAAGGAGGAGAAUUAUGGCACCCUCAGAAUAUCCACCCUCAGAGUAUCGCUAAACAUUGUCAAGAGCAAAUUACAGUGUCCGACCUUAAACCACUCUUGGCUGAGACUGCAGGCCGAGGCUGCCUUGUCCCACCUCGCAGAAGUGAGAUUUUGCUUUCUUCAUUCGAGUUGGACCUUCUCGUACUUAGGCGUUUGGAGCCCACCACCCAAAACGAGGGAUUCAGAGAGUGCUUCCGACAGACGAUCGCUCGUCCCCUGACCUCCAAACCCCUCACCUAUGACCCGCUUCUCCGUGCAGGGUCCCAUCUCUAAGGUCACAGUGGAGCCCACGGAGACACCCCCAGAGCAGACACUCGUUCAAUACGUGGCUGGAACUUAAAUAGAAUAUAGAAAUCCAUUCGGCGUUAACCACACUCAUUCCUCUAGACAAUGGAGUCAACACUCUAACGCUGCAUGAGCUACACUCACACGGGGAGCUCGUCUGAGCGAAGGAGGGGGGAGGUCUUCGCUCUAAUCCAAACACUGGUUCAAAAGCAGCUGAGUUCUGGUUUCUGUCUUCACGAUUACUUGUUGAAAUCGUGUUAUAAGUGACCAGAAAGCUGUUGAAGGAAACAGGAGGAAGGAAAAGAGG
rnacentral:lncRNA from 1 species